UUAAGCGAAGGAGAAACAGGAAGCACCCCUUUUUUCCCCUCUGUUCCUGCUCCAGUGGCAAGAUGUGAUACCAGCAAGGAGGGAUGCCAAUAAGGUGUCCGAUAAGGACCAGACUGGCAGGAAGGAACCUCAGUAACAACACCCAGUGAUGCACUGAGCUGAGUUGCUGUGGAAUGCCUCUUUUGAAAUUCUGCAGGAAAUUUUAUAAGUCUUUUCAGAGUAGAAUAAGAUGUUGCAACAUAGGAAGAAUGCUCCCUGAAUAAUUCAACUUGAUGGGAAUGGUAAAUAG
rnacentral:lncRNA from 1 species